rnacentral:rRNA from 1 species
AAAAAGGUGCAUUGAAUAGCCUGGAAGAAAAUGUGCAUGAGCAAACAGGAUGGCGGAAUGGGCUUCCGGCACAUGGAGGCUUUCAAUCAAGCGUUGCUUGCAAAGCAAGCUUGGAGGAUUCUGCAAGUCCCGUCCUCCCUCUGUGCUAGGGUUCUCAAGUCCAGGUACUACACAGAUGGAUCAAUACUUAAUGCAACUUGCGCGAGUGGUGGGUCAUAUACAUUCUGAAGUAUUCUGCAUGGUAGGCACUUGUUGCUGGAAGGACUGAUUUGGAGAGUGGGCGACGGUACACGAAUCCGCAUCCAUCACGACAGCUGGAUACCACGCAAAGGAAUCCUGAGGCCACUGAGGCGUGUGUGA